rnacentral:rRNA from 1 species
CACAGAGGUCUCGAGCGUUGUUCGGAUUCAUUGGGCGUAAAGGGUGCGUAGGCGGCGGGGUAAGUCGGAUGUGAAAUCCCCAGGCUCAACCUGGGAACUGCAUCCGAUACUGGAUGGCUUGAAUUCGGGAGAGGGAUGCAGAAUUCCAGGUGUAGCGGUGAAAUGCGUAGAUAUCUGGAGGAAUACCGGUGGCGAAGGCGGCAUCCUGGACCGACAUUGACGCUGAGGAGCGAAAGCCAGGGGAGACAAGCGGG